rnacentral:lncRNA from 1 species
UAUACCCUAUAAUGGCUAAUGGAGACUCUUCAUCGAUCAUUCAGUUGUCUGCUGCUGGUGGGAUGUGCGGCGGGUUAGGCUUUGGUUUGGGCUCCGGCUUGGGUUCAGGCUUUGGUUUUGGUUCAGGCUUAGGCUCCGGUUUGGGUUCUGGUUUCGGCUUGGGCUCGGGCUUUGGUUCAGGUUUAGGCUUAGGCUCAGGCUUAGGUAGUGGUUCGGGUUUUGGUUCCGGCUUCGGCUCAGGCUUAGGCUCGGGUUUUGGUUUGGGCUCGGGCUUAGGCUCUGGUUUGGGUAGUGGUUCUGGUUUUGGUUCUGGCUUGGGCUCGGGCUUAGGCUCUGGUUUGGGCAGUGGCUCUGGCUUUGGCUCUGGUUUUGGCAAUGGUUUGGGCUUUGGUUCCGGCUUGGGCUCAGGCUUAGGCUCUGGUUUUGGUAGUGGUUCAGGUUUUGGUUCCGGCUUGGGUUCAGGCUUAGGCUCGGGCUUUGGUUCCGGCUUGGGCUCAUGCUUAGGUUGCAGUGGUUCGGGUAUGGGUUCUGUGCUUGGGUUCAGGCUUAGUGCUCGGUGCUUUGGGUAUCGUGCUUGGGCUCAGGCUUAGGCUCCGGUAUCGGCAUCGGUUCGGGCUUUGGUUCUGGCUAGGGCUCAGGCUUAGGCUCAGGUUUUGGUUUUGGCAUGGGCUCAGGUUUUGGUUCAGGCUUAGGCUCCGGCUUAGGCUCAGGCUUAGGUUUUGGUUCUGGCUUGGGCUCCGGUUUUGGCAGUGGUUCAGGCUUGGGCUCAGGCUCGGGUUUUGGUUCAGGCUUAGGCUCAGGUUUUGGCUUUGGCUCAGGCUUUUUUGGCUUUGGCUUUGGUUCAGGCAUAGGCUUGGGCAUCGGUUCGGGUUUGGGCUUUGGCUCUGGCUUCGUUAUGGGUUUAGGUUGAGGCUCAGGUUUAGGUUCAGGUUUCGGCGAAG